rnacentral:rRNA from 1 species
AUUGAACGCUGGCGGCAUGCCUUACACAUGCCAGUCGAACGGUAACGGGCCUUCGGGUGCCGCCGAGUGGCGUACGGGGGAGUAAUACAUCGGAACGUGCCCGAUCGCGGGGGGUAACGGGGCGAAAGCUUUGCUAAUACCGCCUACGCUCUACGGUUGAGAGCAGGGGACCGCAAGGCCUUGCGCGGCCGGAGCGGACGAUGGCAGGUUAGGUAGGUGGGGGGCUAAAAGCUUACCAAGCCGACGAUCUGUAGCUGUUCUGAGAGGAAGAGCAGCCACACUGGGACAGAGACAGGGCCCAGACUCCUGCGGGAGGCCACAGUGGGGAAUUUUGGGCGAGGGGGGAAAGCCGGAUCCAGCCAUGCCGCGGGCAGGAUGAAGGCCCUCGGGUUGUAAAGUGCUUUUGUACGGAACGAAAUGCCUUCUUUUAAUACGGGAGGAUCAUGACGGUACCGUAAGAAUAAGCACCGGCUAACUACGUG